rnacentral:lncRNA from 1 species
CAGGUGCGUCGAACCGUCGGACCGAGGAAGGGCCCCGGCGCUGCCAUAUGUCGACAUCCGAAAAACCCUCGUUCGAUGUGCUUUCAUCUCGACCGUCGAAGGGUCUUAUAUAUAUGCGGCCAUUUACAUCCAAAACUUUACUUUUUGCUGCAAAUCUGUUCCUGACGCUGAGGCCCUGUCGAAUUGUCCCCCAGUUCUAGGUACUUGUUUUCGUCCUCU